rnacentral:rRNA from 1 species
ACAGGGAUUGCCCUAGUAACGGCGAGUGAAGCGGCAUCAGCUCAAAUUUGAAAUCUGGCUCUUUCAGGGCCCGAGUUGUAAUUUGCAGAGGGCGCUUUGGCGUUGGCAGCGGUCCAAGUUCCUUGGAACAGGACGUCACAGAGGGUGAGAAUCCCGUACGUGGUCGCUGGCCUUCACCGUGUAAAGCCCCUUCGACGAGUCGAGUUGUUUGGGAAUGCAGCUCUAAAUGGGAGGUAAAUUUCUUCUAAAGCUAAAUACUGGCCAGAGACCGAUAGCGCACAAGUAGAGUGAUCGAAAGAUGAAAAGCACUUUGGAAAGAGAGUCAAAUAGCACGUGAAAUUGUUGAAAGGGAAGCGCUUGCAGCCAGACUUGCCUGUAGUUGCUCAUCCGGGCUUUUGCCCGGUGCAUUCUUCUGUAGGCAGGCCAGCAUCAGUUUGGGCGGUUGGAUAAAGGUCUCUGUCACGUACCUCCUCUCGGGGAGGCCUUAUAGGGGAGACGUCAUGCAACCAGCCUGGACUGAGGUCCGCGCAUCUGCUAGGAUGCUGGCGUAAUGGCUGUAAGCGGCCCGUCUUGAAACACGGACCAAGGAGUCUAACAUCUAUGCGAGUGUUUGGGUGUCAAGCCCGAGCGCGUAAUGAAAGUGAACGGAGGUGGGAUCCCUUAAGGGUGCACCAUCGACCGAUCCUGAUGUCUUCGGAUGGAUUUGAGUAAGAGCAUGGCUGUUGGGACCCGAAAGAUGGUGAACUAUGCUUGAAUAGGGUGAAGCCAGAGGAAACUCUGGUGGAGGCUCGCAGCGGUUCUGACGUGCAAAUCGAUCGUCAAAUUUGGGCAUAGGGGCGAAAGACUAAUCGAACUAUCUAGUAGCUGGUUCCUGC